AGAUUAAGUUAUUAAGGGCGCACGGUGGAUGCCUUGGCACUAGAAGCCGAUGAAGGACGUUACUAACGACGAUAUGCUUUGGGGAGCUGUAAGUAAGCUUUGAUCCAGAGAUUUCCGAAUGGGGAAACCCAGCAUGAGUUAUGUCAUGUUAUCGAUAUGUGAAUACAUAGCAUAUCAGAAGGCACACCCGGAGAACUGAAACAUCUUAGUACCCGGAGGAAGAGAAAGAAAAUUCGAUUCCCUUAGUAGCGGCGAGCGAAACGGGAAGAGCCCAAACCAACAAGCUUGCUUGUUGGGGUUGUAGGACACUCUAUACGGAGUUACAAAGGACGACAUUAGACGAAUCAUCUGGAAAGAUGAAUCAAAGAAGGUAAUAAUCCUGUAGUCGAAAAUGUUGUCUCUCUUGAGUGGAUCCUGAGUACGACGGAGCACGUGAAAUUCCGUCGGAAUCUGGGAGGACCAUCUCCUAAGGCUAAAUACUCUCUAGUGACCGAUAGUGAACCAGUACCGUGAGGGAAAGGUGAAAAGCACCCCGGAAGGGGAGUGAAAUAGAACCUGAAACCGUGUGCUUACAAGUAGUCAGAGCCCGUUAAUGGGUGAUGGCGUGCCUUUUGUAGAAUGAACCGGCGAGUUACGAUUUGAUGCAAGGUUAAGCAGUAAAUGUGGAGCCGUAGCGAAAGCGAGUCUGAAUAGGGCGUUUAGUAUUUGGUCGUAGACCCGAAACCAGGUGAUCUACCCUUGGUCAGGUUGAAGUUCAGGUAACACUGAAUGGAGGACCGAACCGACUUACGUUGAAAAGUGAGCGGAUGAACUGAGGGUAGCGGAGAAAUUCCAAUCGAACCUGGAGAUAGCUGGUUCUCUCCGAAAUAGCUUUAGGGCUAGCCUCAAGUGAUGAUUAUUGGAGGUAGAGCACUGUUUGGACGAGGGGCCCCUCUCGGGUUACCGAAUUCAGACAAACUCCGAAUGCCAAUUAAUUUAACUUGGGAGUCAGAACAUGGGUGAUAAGGUCCGUGUUCGAAAGGGAAACAGCCCAGACCACCAGCUAAGGUCCCAAAAUAUAUGUUAAGUGGAAAAGGAUGUGGCGUUGCCCAGACAACUAGGAUGUUGGCUUAGAAGCAGCCAUCAUUUAAAGAGUGCGUAAUAGCUCACUAGUCGAGUGACACUGCGCCGAAAAUGUACCGGGGCUAAACAUAUUACCGAAGCUGUGGAUUGUCCUUUGGACAAUGGUAGGAGAGCGUUCUAAGGGCGUUGAAGCAUGAUCGUAAGGACAUGUGGAGCGCUUAGAAGUGAGAAUGCCGGUGUGAGUAGCGAAAGACGGGUGAGAAUCCCGUCCACCGAUUGACUAAGGUUUCCAGAGGAAGGCUCGUCCGCUCUGGGUUAGUCGGGUCCUAAGCUGAGGCCGACAGGCGUAGGCGAUGGAUAACAGGUUGAUAUUCCUGUACCACCUAUAAUCGUUUUAAUCGAUGGGGGGACGCAGUAGGAUAGGCGAAGCGUGCGAUUGGAUUGCACGUCUAAGCAGUAAGGCUGAGUAUUAGGCAAAUCCGGUACUCGUUAAGGCUGAGCUGUGAUGGGGAG
rnacentral:rRNA from 1 species